GUCCAUGUAGUAUAUCCAAUAUACUGGUCUUGUAAACCAGAGAAGGGAAUAAACUCCCCAUAGACU
rnacentral:tRNA from 1 species